rnacentral:rRNA from 1 species
GACGAACGCUGGCGGCGUGCUUAACACAUGCAAGUCGAACGGAAAGGCCCUGCUUUUGUGGGGUGCUCGAGUGGCGAACGGGUGAGUAACACGUGAGUAACCUGCCCUUGACUUUGGGAUAACUUCAGGAAACUGGGGCUAAUACCGGAUAGGAGCUCCUGCUGCAUGGUGGGGGUUGGAAAGUUUCGGCGGUUGGGGAUGGACUCGCGCCUUAUCCGCUUGUUGGUGGGGUAGUGGCUUACCAAGGCUUUGACGGGUAGCCGGCCUGAGAGGGUGACCGGCCACAUUGGGACUGAGAUACGGCCCAGACUCCUACGGGAGGCAGCAGUGGGGAAUAUUGCACAAUGGGCGGAAGCCUGAUGCAGCAACGCCGCGUGCGGGAUGACGGCCUUCGGGUUGUAAACCGCUUUCGCCUGUGACGAAGCGUGAGUGACGGUAAUGGGUAAAGAAGCACCGGCUAACUACGUG